GGACGAACGCUGGCGGCGGUGCCUAAUACAUGCAAGUCGAGCGAACCGAUGAAGAGCUUGCUCUCAAAGGUGAGCGGCGGACGGGUGAGUAACACGUGGGCAACCUGCCUGCAAGAUCGGGAUAACUCCGGGAAACCGGGGCUAAUACCGGAUGAUGCAUUUCGCUGCAUGGCGGAAUGCUAAAAGGCGGCUUCGGCUGUCACUUGCAGAUGGGCCCGCGGCGCAUUAGCUAGUUGGGGAGGUAACGGCUCCCCCAAGGCGACGAUGCGUAGCCGACCUGAGAGGGUGAUCGGCCACACUGGGACUGAGACACGGCCCAGACUCCUACGGGAGGCAGCAGUAGGGAAUUUUCCGCAAUGGGCGCAAGCCUGACGGAGCCAACGCCGCGUGAGUGAGGACGGCUUUCGGGUUGUAAAACUCUGUUCUUCGGGAAGAACGGCGGUCGGGUGAAUAGCCCGAUUGCGUGACGGUACCGAAGGAGAAAGCCCCGGCUAACUACGUGCCAGCCGCCGC
rnacentral:rRNA from 1 species